GGGGGUUUCACCUAAAGUCAUCUUUGUGAGGGUGACAUUUAAAGGAAAAGACCACAUGUGCUGCUCUGUGUUCAACAUCAUGUUUUGUAACUGCUUGUGUCUGGAUCUCGCUGCUUUGAUAUGUUCGUUAAAGGCGAGAAGCAAAAUGACAGAGCUGGAAGCUCAGAAGCACAGCCGGCGUGCAUGUAGGACCAACACAGCGGCCGUGAUCGUGACAAUCAUUGCUCUAACCAUCUUCUUAGUCUUCGUGGGUCUUGGAACCUUCCAUAAUUUAUCUGGGCAUCCCUCAGCAGUGUCUCAUAAUUUUGGCACUUCUUUUUCCUCUGAACUAUCUUUUGACAACAAUGAAAGGCAAAAAUCAAAACCCCGAAAUUCUUAUGAUUGUAGGUCAGAAAGCAGUGGACACAACUCUUAUCAACCUAAAGGCAACAUAAAUAGAACCUCUCAGAGAAACUCAUACAGUGGAGGGAGAUGGAAAGACUGAAGGAAGAAAUAUAAAUGAGGUGCAAUUAAUCAUCUUCAGUUUUAUUGAAACAUCACAAUCAGUUUAGUUUGGUCAGCAGUAUUUCAAUAAAAAAGUAGGAUCUUUUCUAAAAUUAUUUCACAGUCAUCAGGGUCACAUAAUUUGAUUCUGAUAUAAUUUGCUGAGAAGACUUCAAAUAAACAUUUCUUGAUUGUACUGUCUUCCAUUUAUGUUUGAGUAUGUUAAUAGAUAGCUACUUUAACAAACUGUGUUUUAGUAGUUUCCCAUAUGCUUUAUAAUUAUAGAGUUUAAACAAGUCUUAUGAAACUAUACAUGCAAAUUCACUUAUUUUCUUAGAGGCAGUAACCAAACACAGGUGUUUCCUGAGAGGCAACGCAUCAGUAAAUGUGAUAUUUUCCUACA